rnacentral:misc_RNA from 1 species
GAUGAAGAACGCAGCGAAAUGCGAUACGUAGUGUGAAUCGCAGAAUUCAGUGAAUCAUCGAAUCUUUGAACGCACAUUGCACCUCUCGGUAUUCCGGGAGGUAUGCCUGUUCGAGCGUCAUUUGUACCCUCAAGCUCUGCUUGGUGUUGGGUGUUUGUUCCGCCUCUGUGUGUGAACUCGCCUCAAAACAAUUGGCAGCCGGCGUACUUGUUUCGGAGCGCAGCACAUUUUGCGAUCCAGAUCAACGUACAGCGGCAUCCAAGAAGCCUUAUUUAACGCUCUUGACCUCGGAUCAGGUAGGGAUACCCGCUGAACUUAAGCAUAUCAAUAAGCGGAGGA